AACCCGCACCAACCGAAACAAAAAAAACAAAUUGGGUCGGACUUACUUGGUUUAGCGGUUCUGCGGGUCCAAAAUGCGGUUUCGACUGGGCUCAAAUGGGCGGGUCCGGUUCAAGAAAUUGGAACCGCGGGUAACCGUACCCGCCCGGCUCUAAAAAGCCAGAUGAUGUAUAUUACUGGUAGCAAGACCCAUUUGUUCUAUUCUUUCUCUCUCCUCAUGUUCCUUCCUUUCGAGAAUGUUGUUUCACCCCCAACCUAAAAAUAAAAGUUUGAUUUUACGCCGCCGUAAGUUACAACCAACAACCGCCGUCUCAUUUCCGCCUGGUUCAUGGUUUUCAUCCUACGACUAUUCUCCAUUUUUCUACUGUUGUGGUGUUUGAUAAAAAUACUGAAAGAUUUGAAGCUACCUCCAUGUUAGAUACUCAGAUUUCUUAACUAAUUCAGUUAUUUCCCUUUUCAGAUGCAUUUUAAAGGGCUAACCGAUCUUAUACCGCCAUUGUGGUUGAAAUUAUUGAACACUAGUGAAUGUAAUCAAGUAUCUUUACUAAGUAUGUUUAAAAGGUUUUCUUUGUGAGUCUAAUAAUUCUUCUUCUCUCCUGCACUAAGACCAACUAAGCAUUUAUAUAACUGAAGCAUAACUUUAUUUACUUGCAACUGAAUUAAUGUUAUUACAGUAUGUGAUUGAUUAUUUAGAAUUGUAUAUUUGCAUCUUUUAAGUUAUUUGUCCUUUCCAAAUGCUCCAACAAACAUCGUAAUAACGUUAUAUUCAAUGAUGGUGUUGUAGACAUAGAGGAAGUUGUUCACAAUGUAAAAAUGUGCUCAUGGCGGUGGUUAGCCAUAGCUAACAAACAAAAGGUAUCUUGUAACUAUUAUGAAUGGUGCCAUAGUCCAUUAGAAUAUAUGUAGGGAUAGGAAGUUAGAAAUCUGUAUUUUGUUUGGGUAGAUGAAUUAUAUUAUAAAAAAAAAAGUUAUUUGUACUUUAAUUGGUUUGAUCUGUUUGAGAUAAGGUCUGAUCAAUGAUGAUGUUUAGCAUGUAAAUCUAAGCUGUCUAAGUAGUUAAGGACUUUUAUUUUAUUCUUUGUAUCUAGAUAAUUGUUGAAUAGGAUCUUCUUAAUUCAAAUGUGAUCCAAAAACCAUGAGAGUGACGCAUCUGUGAGUUUAUAUACUCUUGACAUUUCUUGACAUUCACUUGCUAUAAGACUCUCUAUUUGUGAGAUGAAAGCAUUUCAUACAUCAUUUUGUUUGUAUUGACUGGUGUAGUUUAUCAAAUGUAUUAUGUUGUGGGUAGAUGAAUUAUAUUAUAUCAUGGCAGUCUUGUAUUUAUAAGUUAAACAAAGCAUAGUUUUGUGAAGCUUCACAAGAAAUUUUUCAGCCAUGUCUGGAACAUCUAAUUUCUGAUUUUGACUUAAAGUUGUGUAAACAAGUAUUAUUUCUAAAUUUGGUGCAAGUACUGAUUCUAAAUUUCAAAUAAUACAAUUUUUCUUCUCACUUUUUCAUUGUUCUAGUCUAGAUUUAUCUGCAUUUAUCUAGGUUUAUAAUGGUAUUAGGAUAAUGUAUUUUAACAAUCAAAUAUCUUAUUUAUUAGCUUUAAUAUUAUGCAUGUACAUUUCAACUUACUAUAUUGUUCUUGAUGAUAAUUCAAAUGUGCAUGCUUUAAUUGAUGACUUUUAUAAUUCCAUCUAUUUUCAUUCUGUCAAAUUAUGGAUCCUAAUUUAUUUUAACAUGAACAAAGUAACUUAUAUUAUAUACUCACAUAAUGUAAACAUGUUUUAUUUUUUCUAUCAGCUAAGACAGUGCGAGAGCUUGGAAAUCCAAACUUAGUCAAGUUGUUGUGUUAGCACAUCCAUCCUCUAGACGACAUCGACAGUAUGAACUAUCUACAGGUUAAUUAUUUGUUUUCCUUUCAGGUGUUAAUACUCAUUCAAAGGUCAUAAAACAAUUUGAACAAGUCUUGGCUGCUAUUGCUCUACUUAGUGAAGAAACACAACAUGAAUUGGCUUCCUUAACAUAUGUAUAUGUUGCAGUAACUAGUAUAGCAAUUUGAUCGAGUCAGCAACUAUUGUUUUUAAUUUUGGAUCAUGUUUGAAGAAACACAAAACAUGAAUUGUGGAUAGUACCCUACUAAUUGAAGCAUUACUAUUAAUUAUAUCCAAUUGUGUUUUUGUUAA